UGUCGAUCGAUUGUUAACCCGAUAUCCAUCGCCAGUCUUAAAUCAAUGGCAGCGCGUGUUGGAACAUGGAAGCGGCCACAUUUUGGCUUUGCUUAAAAUGUAUGCCCUUUUAGUAAGCGUCUUGGAAAAUUAAGUUGCUGUUAUGACAGAUACUCUUCAAGCCAUUUCAUUCAACUAGAUCUUUGUGGUCUCUACAAUCUGAGCAAAAACUGUUUUUGGGAUACUGUGUUGCAAUGCAUGUCAGGUAUCUACCCAUCCCACGGUACAUUCGAAAGAGCGACAUUGUACUGAAUUGAACGAGGAUAAUCAUGUAGCCAAUUAAGUUACCCAAGAUAUCUAAGGAAGGAACUAUUGUUGCAGAACUGCCAGAUAUCACCAGCAAGUACAUUCUCCUAGUCUACCAUCUCAGAGUGAUGGUGACACUUGGUAUCUUAUUAACCUUGAUUGGCUCCAUUCAUGCCAAACAUAUGCUGGUUGGGAUCCUAAUGAUGUUGCAGCUUGCUCUUUUCUAGAAAUACUAUGGAACUGUUGCCCCCUUGUACCCGUCUGGUAAUCUGGUUGCUUCACGUCAUAGCACAUAGAUGUCGUUGCGUUCAUGGACCAAUUCGAUCUCUUACGAGAUGGCGGCUGCAAAACCACUGCGUUACUGAUUUAUUUCGUACAAGAAACAAGGCUUAACAGUGGUUUUUACCUUUUUGGUUAUUGAUCAGAGUCAGAGAACAAUGUGUGGAAUCUGAUAUUCUAGUCCUGGAAACCCCAGGUGCCUUUCUGCUUCAAUUAAAGCAAUUAUAAUUUCUCGAGGUAAAGACUGAAACUAAAAACAAAGCACAGACAUUUUUUAGUUGGCUUUUCCGCUUAAUGUUAUUGUUACACUUAAGUUUUGGAAACAUAAAAAUGUAUACAAAUGUUCAGGGUCAAAUCGAUCAAAUGGUAGAGCCAAAAACGAACUUUAUGUUACCUUUGAACAGGUCCUAACUCGUGUACGCGGUUGAUGCCACACUACACGACACAGCAUCUUGCCAUUCACACGAAUGCCUUUGUCUUAUCUGAUCGUGUUGACAUGCUAAUUCGUUCUUGCCACUGACCGAAGCCUUUUUGUCAAAUUUUGCAUCUUUCCAAAAUUUAAUCACACAAGUAUUCUGGCAUGCGUCAGGCAACGGAUUACAGGAAUGGUAUGAUUCCCUUUUGGUGUUGAGCCUGGCCUACACUCUCGGUUCUUGAAAAUGUUUGUCCAUGUUAUAGCUUUGGCAUCCUGAAGGAUUUUGUUCAUCUAUUUGUUCUUGUUUUUCUUUUGAUUAGGUGUUGGAACAAGUAAUUACAUGGAGCUGGAGUGUCAAUUUGGGAACUUGAUUUGUCAUCUGUUGGUUGAGGUGGAAAAACAGGGAUUGGACCCACCAUUUUAUUUCCACACUUAUCAUUGGAAUUCUGGGAUGGUAGCUGUUGUUGCAUGACACUCUCCUUGGUUUGUUUGUAACGUUCCAGAAAGCAGCAUUCCAUGAGGCAAGAAUAUCAUUUGCCGGUCGUCAACACCAUACAGAUUGUUUAACUUUGUUUUCUUGCCUUGAUGGUGAAAUUGAAUUAUAUUGAAAUUUAAAAGUGUUUGAAUCUAUUUGCCUAGUAGUGAGAAAACAUGUAAAGAGCUGCUGCAAUGUGUCAACAGAGCAAAAUGCAAAACUUGGAUUGAA
rnacentral:lncRNA from 1 species